CAAUAGCGUAUAUUUAAGUUGUUGCAGUUAAAAAGCUCGUCGUUGGAUUUCGGGUGGGACGCAGCGGUCUCGCAUUGCGUUUGUACUGCUGCAGCCCUCCUUCUUGCCGGGGGCGGCCUCUCGGACUUCACUGUCUGGGGGUCAGAAUCGGCGAUGUUACUUUGAGUAAAUUAGAGUGUUCAAAGCAAGCUUACGCUCUGAAUAUAAUAGCAUGGGAUAACACGACAGGACUCUGGCCUAUCGUGUUGGUCUAUAGGACCAGAGUAAUGAUUAAGAGGGACAGUCGGGGGCAUUCGUAUUCCGUUGUCAGAGGUGAAAUUCUUGGAUUUACGGAAGACGAACAUCUGCGAAAGCAUUUGCCAAGGAUGUUUNCAUUGA
rnacentral:rRNA from 1 species